rnacentral:rRNA from 1 species
CAGCAGUGAGGAAGGUGGGUAUGUUAAUAGCAUACUCAUUUGACGUUUAGCUGCAGAAGAAGCACCGGCUAACUCCGUGCCAGCAGCCGCGGUAAUACGGAGGGUGCGAGCGUUAAUCGGAAUUACUGGGCGUAAAGCGCAUGCAGGUGGUUUGUUAAGUCAGAUGUGAAAGCCCGGGGCUCAACCUCGGAAUUGCAUUUGAAACUGGCAAACUAGAGUACUGUAGAGGGGGUAGAAUUUCAGGUGUAGCGGUGAAAUGCGUAGAGAUCUGAAGGAAUAACCGGUGGCGAAGGCGGCCCCCCUGGACAGAUACUGACACUCAGAUGCGAAAGCGUGGGGAGCAAACAGGAUUAGAUACCCUCGGUAG